UACGUAGGCAGCAAGCGUUGUUCGGAGUUACUGGGCGUAAAGGGUGCGUAGGCGGUCCUAUAAGUAUGGUGUGAAAUCUCCCGGCUUAACUGGGAGGGUGCGCUAUAGACUGUGGGACUAGAGUGUGGGAGAGGAAAGUGGAAUUCCUGGUGUAGCGGUGAAAUGCGUAGAUAUCAGGAGGAACACCGGUGGUGUAAACGGCUUU
rnacentral:rRNA from 1 species